GCUCAUUACUGCCGCUUGUUAACACAUUAACAGCGUCCUGCCCGUGUAGAACGCGUCCGUGCAAAAAAAAACAAAAAAAAACACACACAACAGUUCUGGCUGUCGUGCUGUGUAAUCAGAAGCUGCGGAGAGAUAAGGCGAUGGAGUCAGGAAACACGGGGGUGUAAGAGUGUGGGAAGCCACGCCCACUGGUCGCUGGAACAACCGCCGGGGAGGUUCGAUUUCCCGCUGACCUCACGCUUCCAUGAGUCAUGACAGCUCAGUCAGACUCCACGGCGGGCCAGCUUCCAGAAAGAGCUGAGCCAAUCCGCAUGAGCCCAGAACCUGUUGGCCUGACCUGGAUAACAGACGGGGCUGGACUCGAGCCGAAGCAGGUUUAAUGUUGUAAACAUACGCAUGCACCGACAUAGGUGUGCAUUCUUUGAAGCUGUGAGUCAUUUGCUGCAAAUGUGCUUGCGCAAGACAAACUGCACAAAUCUGACAGUGAAGUGGCAGCGGGAAGUUAUUUAUCAACGUCAGUGGCCAGGGCGGAACUGAAACAAACACUGUUUACUAACCUGAUUUAAAAAAAACAACUGGGAAACUAGCAUUAUUUUUUUUUUUAAAUACUGUACUCCUGAAACAUAUUUGACAAACUUUAUCUUCGUUUCUAGAAGUCAUCCUUGAAUCCAUACUAAUGAACUUUAAACGACACAGGCCUCCAGCGAUGACACCACGCUAAUGUUGAGCGAAAGAACAAAUGGAGUCACACCGCAGACGAUUUGUCCCUGAGUGGUUCAUAAACUGUCCGCAAGCUCGACAGACCUCAUAAACAACAGAUAUAAGAGUGGCUCCACAGCUUAUUUUUUUUCUUUUUCUUAACAAGGCACUUAACAAAACCUCAACAUCCAUCUUGGUACUCACCGCGAUUUUCCAUCACAGAUUUUGAGGCGCACCGAUCCUAAAUUC